UACGUAGGGUGCGAGCGUUGUCCGGAAUUACUGGGCGUAAAGCGUGUGUAGGCGGCUCCGCAAGUCGGAUGUGAAAGCCCCGGGCUCAACCCGGGAAGUGCACUCGAUACUGCGGAGCUAGAGUGUCGGAGAGGUUGGUGGAAUUCUCGGUGUAGAGGUGAAAUUCGUAGAUAUCGAGAGGAACACCGGUGGCGAAGGCGGCCAACUGGACGAACACUGACGCUGAGACACGAAAGCGUGGGGAGCAAACAGG
rnacentral:rRNA from 1 species